rnacentral:ncRNA from 1 species
AAAAAUUCUAUGUUAAAAAAUUAACUAAUAAAUAAAUUUUUUAUGGUUUAAUAAUUUUAUUAUAAAUUUAUUUUACAUAUAAAUUUUAGUGUUAAUUAUUGUUUAUUUAAAUAGUAAAUAAUUUUUAUAGUAGUAAUUAAUUUUAAAAAUUUAAGAAAUUAAGAUUUAGUAAUAUAAAAAUUAAUAACUAAUUUUGUGCCAGCAGUUGCGGUUAUACAAAGAUUGAUUUAAAAUUUUUUAGUAAUUAAUAAGUAAUUAUAAUCAUUUAAUAAUAUAAAAAUUAAAUUAUUAAGUGAAAUUUUAAUUUGAUAAAAAAUUAUUUUUAAAUUAUGAUUUAAUAAAUUUAAUAAAAAACUAGGAUUAGAUACCCUAUUAUUAAAAUUUAAAAUUAUUACACUAAAAUAGUAGGUAAUUUUUUAUUGAAACUUAAAUAAUUUGGCGGUAUUUUAGUUCAUUUAGAGGAAUCUGUUUAAUAAUUGAUAAUCCACGAAUAAAUUUACUUAAUUUAAAAUUUUGUAUAUCGUUGUUAAAAAAAUAUUUUUUAAUAAAAAUAAUAUUUAAAAAUUUAAAAUUAAAAUUAAAUCAGAUCAAGAUGCAGAUUAUAAUUAAGAAUAUAAUGGAUUACAAUAAAUUUAUUUAAUUGGAUUUUAAUAUGAAAUAGUUAAAUGAAAUUGGAUUUAAAUGUAAUUUUAUUUAAUUUAAUAAGAUGAUUAAAUAUUAAAAUAUGUACAUAUUGCCCGUCGCUUUCAUUUAUAAAUUGAAAUAAGUCGUAACAAAGUAGAGGUACUGGAAAGUGUUUCUAGAAAGAU